rnacentral:rRNA from 1 species
GAUGAACGCUGGCGGCGUGCCUAAUACAUGCCAGUCGAGCGAACAGAUGAGGAGCUUGCUCCUCUGACGUUAGCGGCGGACGGGUGAGUAACACGUGGAUAACCUACCUAUAAGACUGGGAUAACUUCGGGAAACCGGAGCUAAUACCGGAUAAUAUAUUGAACCGCAUGGUUCAAUAGUGAAAGACGGUUUUGCUGUCACUUAUAGAUGGAUCCGCGCCGCAUUAGCUAGUUGGUAAGGUAACGGCUUACCAAGGCAACGAUGCGUAGCCGACCUGAGAGGGUGAUCGGCCACACUGGAACUGAGACACGGUCCAGACUCCUACGGGAGGCAGCAGUAGGGAAUCUUCCGCAAUGGGCGAAAGCCUGACGGAGCAACGCCGCGUGAGUGAUGAAGGUCUUCGGAUCGUAAAACUCUGUUAUUAGGGAAGAACAAAUGUGUAAGUAACUUUGCACGUCUUGACGGUACCUAAUCAGAAAGCCACGGCUAACUACGUG